ACUUGAAGCAAGAGGUGGGUAACCGCCGCCUCUUCGUCUGGCAGCGAAGAACUCAUUCUCUUUGCCUAUAUGUAGGUGUAAAUGAGACAAGGGAAGCGUGCAGAAAAUAUUCAGUAGAAGCACUUUGAUUAAAUCCCUUCUCUUUUGUUACUGCUAGUGUGUCUUAGCUAGUCAGGAGCUUCUUCACUGGCUGCCAAGCAAUUUUUCGCUCGAUAGAGAAGUGAUAGCUUUCAGACAAACGCUCAUCUAAUCCUCUGAGCACCACAAAAAGGACAAAUCUCUUUUAAGGAGAUAACGCUCUACAGAACUCAACAUCCACUCAAUAUUUGUGUUGCAACUCUCAACAUCCAGUUGGCAACUCAAAAACAUUGUAGUACGGACUCUACUUCCAUUCAGAUCGGGGAUGUUGGUGCAGUCUGUACUAAGAAUCAAAUUCUGAUGUAUGACAAAAGGGUCUGGAGGACCUGUAGCUAGCGGAAAGUCUGGCUGGGUUCGCGGGACCUGACAGCUAACCGAAGUCCAGUUGGGUUUGCAGACCUGACAACUAGCAGGAAGACCUAGUAGGUUGAAGUCAAGUGAUUAUGUAUGGUAAGUAAGGUAAGUCAUCGGAGGAGAAAGAUCUACUAAAGACAAGUCCCAGUUGAGACUUUAGGCAUAGGUCCAAUUUAAGUUUAUUUUGAAAACCUAGACUGAGAUCUCGACUAGAUCCUAGUUUUGGAAAUACAAGAUCUAACUAAUAAAUAUAUAUAACUUGUUCAUGCAUGUAUUUUUUAACUCUAUGUUGUAGAGAUAAACAUAAAUCUUCAAAUUCUAUACGUGUGGCAACUGACAGAGCUUGAUUCUAAAUUUAGAGUCAAAAGAUAUGAGUUUCGGAAGAUUACUGUGCCAAACCAACUGAGGGGAGGCGCCUCAGAGUUCUUCAAAGGCACCUCAGAGAGCAUGGAAGACACCUUCGAGUGGAUAGAUACCGAAGACGACGCUGUUUAUCGCGAUCGAAGUUUAUGGAUUAAUCUUCACAUUGGAGGUGCCUCCUAUGAGAUUGGAGGUGCCCUCAACACUAUUUAAAAGAGCAGUUCAAGCAGCCUUCAUGAAUCAUCUCCUCUAUGAGCUGCAAAGACCAUUUUGCUGUUAUGAAAGCAUUUGACUGCUACUGUGCUACUACUCUGCAACUUCCAAUUGUUACUAGCAAACCGACACCAACUCCUGAGCGCUUCCGAAUCUUCUUUCUGUGAGUUGGUAACAAAGUUAAAUAUUGUUUUUAUUAUUACAUGCAAAAAGGGAGUGUAGACUGUUACACUUCCCUUCCUUCUAUUUUCUGUAUUCGAUUCUCUCUUUUAGCGGUUCUAAAAGAAGUUUUUAGUGAAUUAUCAGUUGAAACGA